GCCAGGCAUGGUGGUGCGUGCCCGUAAUCCCAGUGGCUCAGGAGGCGGAGGCAGGAGGAUCACUAGUUCAAAACCAGCCUCAG
rnacentral:sRNA from 1 species